rnacentral:rRNA from 1 species
GUGACCUACGGGGGGCAGCAGUCGGGAAUAUUGCGCAAUGGAGGAAACUCUGACGCAGUGACGCCGCGUGCAGGAAGAAGGUUUUCGGAUUGUAAACUGCUUUAGACAGGGAAGAUAAUGACAGUACCUGUAGAAUAAGCUCCGGCUAACUACGUGCCAGCAGCCGCGGUAAUACGUAGGGGGCAAGCGUUAUCCGGAUUUACUGGGUGUAAAGGGGGCGCAGACGGCAAUGCAAGCCAGGAGUGAAAGCCCGGGGCCCAACCCCGGGACUGCACUGGAAACUGCCGGGCUGGAGUGACGGAGGG